rnacentral:lncRNA from 1 species
UAAUUUCAUGACUUGUGGCCGUCUCUGAAGUGCUUGCUGCAGUGUGGAGUGAUCGUAUGGCUUUAUUGUCAUAGAGAAGACCAAAUAAGAGAAAAAACAACAAUGCCAACCACACGAUGGGUGAGGAUUAAACAGGAGAAUGCACAGGAAGCUUGCAGCACCUGGUGAGAACUCAACGAAGGUGUGGGUCCGCCUUCUGAUGACGGAACCUGUUACAGCUGUCUGUCUGAAGCGAUGAGAUGAGGCAACCCUUGCUCUGGGAAGGCAGAGUCACCUGGCAUCAUCAAGGCCUUUAGCACCUGCUACCACUUGUCUGCUACGAAGUACCAGAAAAUGACAAAAACCUCGGACUUGAAGCAAAUAAACUAAGUAAAAACUCUGAACACC